UACAGAGGUGGCAAGCGUUGUUCGGAAUUACUGGGCGUAAAGGGCGCGUAGGCGGUUCUGCAAGUCCUGUGUGAAAUCCCUCGGCUCAACUGGGGAACUGCACAGGAUACUGCGGGGCUUGAGUUCGGGAGAGGGAAGCGGAAUUCCGGGUGUAGCGGUGAAAUGCGUAGAUAUCCGGAGGAACACCGGUGGCGAAGGCGGCUUCCUGGACCGACACUGACGCUGAGGCGCGAGAGCUAGGGGAGCAAACGGG
rnacentral:rRNA from 1 species